CCUUGUCAGGAAUGGGGUGCUUGA
rnacentral:piRNA from 1 species